rnacentral:rRNA from 1 species
GACGAACGCUGGCGGCGUGCCUAAUACAUGCAAGUCGAACGCUGAAGGAGGAGCUUGCUUCUCCGGAUGAGUUGCGAACGGGUGAGUAACGCGUAGGUAACCUGCCUGGUAGCGGGGGAUAACUAUUGGAAACGAUAGCUAAUACCGCAUAACAGUAGAUGUUGCAUGACAUUUGCUUAAAAGGUGCAAUUGCAUCACUACUAGAUGGACCUGCGUUGUAUUAGCUAGUUGGUGAGGUAACGGCUCACAAAGGCGACGAUACAUAGCCGACCUGAGAGGGUGAGCGGCCACACUGGGCCUGGGACACGGCCCAGACUCCUACGGGAGGCAGCAGUAGGGAAUCUUCGGCAAUGGACGGAAGUCUGACCGAGCAACGCCGCGGGAGUGAAGAAGGUUGUCGGAUCGUAAAGCUCUGUUGUAAGAGAAGAACGAGUGUGAGAGUGGAAAGUUCACACUGUGACGGUAGCUUACCAGAAAGCGACGGCUAACUACGUG